CACCGCGCCGCGGGAGUGGCGCACGCGGGGGCUGCCGGGAUUGGGGCGGCGGUCGCGGGUGGCGAUUGAUCCCGAUCGGUUCCGAUCGAUCCCGAUCGAUCCCCGGGGCUCCCCCGCCGCGAUGUUCUUCACCUGCGGCCCCAACGAGGCCAUGGUGGUGUCGGGUGAGUCCGGGGGGCCCGGGGAACCCCCAAAAUCCUCCCAAAACUCCCGGGAACCCCCCAAAAUUCCCCAAAAACUCCCGGGAACCCCCAAAAUCCUCCCUAAACCUCCCGGGAACCCCCCCAGAAACUCCGCAAAACCCCCAAAAUCUCCUGGGAAUCCCCAAAAUUCUCUCAAACCACCCCAAAAUCCCCCCAAAAACCCUUCUGGGAACCCCCAAAAUCUCCUGGGAACCCCCAGAAUUCCCUCCAAAAACCCUCCAGGAACCUUCAGAAUCCCCCAAAAAACUCCUGGGAAUCCCCCCGGAACCCCCAAACCCCACCUGGGACCCCCCAAAAUCCACUCAGGGACCCCAAAAUCCCCCAAAUCCACCCCAAAAUCCCCCCUGGGACUCCCCAAAAUCCAUUCAGGGACCCCAAAAUACCCCAAAUCCACCCCAAAAUCCCCCCAUUUUUGGGGUCCCCCCCCAGGAUUUUGGGGUCACCCCCGGUUUUUGGGGUCCCCCCAGUGAUUUUGGGGUCCCCACCAGAGAUUUUGGUGUCACCCCUGGGAUUUUGGGGUCCCCCCCCGGUAUUUUGGGGUCCCCAUCCCGGUUUUUGUGGUCCCCCCCCUGGGAUUUCGGGGUCACCCGUGGGAUUUUGGGGUCCCCCCCCGGUAUUUUGGGGUCCCCCCCCGGUAUUUUAGGGUCACCCCCGGUUUUUGUGGUUUCCCCCCCCCAGGAUGUUGGGGUCACCCCCCGGUGUUUUGGGGCUCCCCCUGGUAUUUUUUGGUCCCCCCCCCGGGAUUUUGGGGUCCCCCCCCGGUAUUUCAGGGUCCCCAUCCCGGUUUUUGGGGUUCCCCCCGGUAUUUUGUGGGGUCCCCAUCCCGGGAUUUUGGGGUCCCCAUCCUGGUAUUUUGUGGUUCCCCCCCUGGUAUUUUGGGGUCCCCCCCCAGGAUUUUGGGGUCCCCCCCGGUAUUUUGGGGUCUCUCCCGGGACUUUG
ensembl:lncRNA